UAGUUUGAACCUGGCUCAGAUUGAACGCUGGCGGCAGGCUUAACACAUGCAAGUCGAACGAUGAAACUCUAGCUUGCUAGAGANGAUUAGUGGCGGACGGGUGAGUAACAUUUAGGAAUCUGCCUAGUAGUGGGGGAUAGCUCGGGGAAACUCGAAUUAAUACCGCAUACGACCUACGGGUGAAAGGGGGCGCAAGCUCUUGCUAUUAGAUGAGCCUAAAUCAGAUUAGCUAGUUGGUGGGGUAAAGGCCCACCAAGGCGACGAUCUGUAACUGGUCUGAGAGGAUGAUCAGUCACACCGGAACUGAGACACGGUCCGGACUCCUACGGGAGGCAGCAGUGGGGAAUAUUGGACAAUGGGGGCAACCCUGAUCCAGCCAUGCCGCGUGUGUGAAGAAGGCCUUUUGGUUGUAAAGCACUUUAAGCAGGGAGGAGAGGCUAAUGGUUAAUACCCAUUAGAUUAGACGUUACCUGCAGAAUAAGCACCGGCUAACUCUGUGCCAGCAGCCGCGGUAAUACAGAGGGUGCGAGCGUUAAUCGGAAUUACUGGGCGUAAAGCGAGUGUAGGUGGCUCAUUAAGUCACAUGUGAAAUCCCCGGGCUUAACCUGGGAACUGCAUGUGAUACUGGUGGUGCUAGAAUAUGUGAGAGGGAAGUAGAAUUCCAGGUGUAGCGGUGAAAUGCGUAGAGAUCUGGAGGAAUACCGAUGGCGAAGGCAGCUUCCUGGCAUAAUAUUGACACUGAGAUUCGAAAGCGUGGGUAGCAAACAGGAUUAGAUACCCUGGUAGUCCACGCCGUAAACGAUGUCUACUAGCCGUUGGGGUCCUUGAGACUUUAGUGGCGCAGUUAACGCGAUAAGUAGACCGCCUGGGGAGUACGGCCGCAAGGUUAAAACUCAAAUGAAUUGACGGGGGCCCGCACAAGCGGUGGAGCAUGUGGUUUAAUUCGAUGCAACGCGAAGAACCUUACCUGGUCUUGACAUAGUGAGAAUCNUNCAGAGAUGAGAGAGUGCCUUCGGGAACUCACAUACAGGUGCUGCAUGGCUGUCGUCAGCUCGUGUCGUGAGAUGUUGGGUUAAGUCCCGCAACGAGCGCAACCCUUUUCCUUAUUUGCCAGCGGGUUAAGCCGGGAACUUUAAGGAUACUGCCAGUGACAAACUGGAGGAAGGCGGGGACGACGUCAAGUCAUCAUGGCCCUUACGACCAGGGCUACACACGUGCUACAAUGGUAGGUACAGAGGGUUGCUACACAGCGAUGUGAUGCUAAUCUCAAAAAGCCUAUCGUAGUCCGGAUUGGAGUCUGCAACUCGACUCCAUGAAGUCGGAAUCGCUAGUAAUCGCAGAUCAGAAUGCUGCGGUGAAUACGUUCCCGGGCCUUGUACACACCGCCCGUCACACCAUGGGAGUCUAUUGCACCAGAAGUAGGUAGCCUAACGNAAGAGGGCGCUUACCACGGU
rnacentral:rRNA from 1 species